UACGUAGGGGGCGAGCGUUGUCCGGAUUUAUUGGGCGUAAAGAGCGUGUAGGCGGUUCGGUAAGUCUGUCGUGAAAUCCUGAGGCUCAACCUUGGACGUGCGAUGGAUACUGCCGGGCUAGAGGAUGGUAGAGGCGAGUGGAAUUCCCGGUGUAGCGGUGAAAUGCGCAGAUAUCGGGAGGAACACCAAUGGCGAAGGCAGCUCGCUGGGACGGUACUGACGCUGAGGCGCGAAAGCGGGGGGAGCAAAGCAGGG
rnacentral:rRNA from 1 species